CAGAAUACAUUAUCUUUUGUUUUAUGCUGAAGUAGAGUGCAGCAAGCAAAAAGCAGCAAAAGACACAUAAUCAAAGUAAUUGGAAUGCUGACUGUAAAAUUAUGCUGAGAACUGGCUGCACGAUAAGAUGCUUUUGCUUCCUCUUUGUUAUUUGUAUUAUUUUGUAAAGAUAGGCCAAUGUGAGUAUGUCCAAAUAAGCUAAUAAUCUAUUUCCCUUAAAAUUUCAGCAAAUAUUCAAGAGAAUAAAAAUGU
rnacentral:lncRNA from 1 species